UGAGAACAAGACUGAGAACAGACUGAGAACACACUGAGAACAGACUGAGAAUAGACUGAGAACAGACUGAGAACACACUGAGAACAGACUGAGAACACACUGAGAACACACUGAGAACAGACUGGGAACAGACUGAGAACACACUGAGAACAGACUGAGAACACACUGAGAACAGACUGAGAACAGACUGAGAACACACUGAGAACAGACUGAGAACAGACUGGGAACAGACUGGGAACACACUGAGAACAGACUGAGAACAGACUGAGAACAGACUGAGAACAGACUGGGAACACACUGAGAACAGACUGAGAACACACUGGGAACACACUGAGAACAGACUGAGAACAGACUGAGAACACACUGAGAACACACUGAGAACAGACUGAGAACACACUGAGAACAGACUGAGAACAGACUGGGAACAGACUGAGAACACACUGAGAACAGACUGAGAACAGACUGGGAACAGACUGAGAACAGACUGGGAACAGACUGAGAACAGACUGAGAACAGACUGGGAACACACUGAGAACAGACUGAGAACAGACUGGGAACAGAUUGAGAACAGGCUGAGAACAGACUGAGAACAGACUGAGAACAGACUGGGAACAGACUGAGAACAGACUGGGAACAGACUGAGAACACACUGAGAACAGACUGAGAACAGACUGAGAACAGACUGAGAACAGACUGGGAACAGACUGAGAACAGGCUGAGAACAGACUGAGAAAAGACUGGGAACACACUGAGAACAGACUGGGAACAGACUGAGAACAGAAUGAGAACACACUGACAACAGACUGAGAACAGACUGAGAACAGACUGAGAACACACUGAGAACAGACUGAGAACAGACUGAGAACAGACUGAGAACACACUGAGAACAGACUGAGAACAGACUGAGAACAGACUGGGAACAGACUGAGAACAGACUGGGAACAGACUGAGAACAGACUGGGAACAGACGGAGAACACACUGAGAAGAAGACUGAGAACAGACUGAGAACACACUGAGAACACACUGAGAACACACUGAGAACAGACUGAGAACAGACUGGGAACAGACUGGGAACACACUGAGAACAGACUGGGAACAGACUGAGAACAGGCUGAGAACAGACUGAGAACAGACUGGGAACAGACGGAGAACACACUGAGAAGAAGACUGAGAACAGACUGAGAACACACUGAGAACACACUGAGAACACACUGAGAACAGACUGAGAACAGACUGGGAACAGACUGGGAACAGACUGGGAACAGACUGAGAACAGGCUGAGAACAGACUGAGAACAGGUUGGGAACAGACUGGGAACAGACUGAGAACACACUGAGAACAGACUGAGAACAGACUGAGAACAGACUGAGAACAGACUGAGAACAGACUGGGAACACACUGAGAACAAGAUGUAUCUCAAAGUAAUGGCUGGAUUGACCAUAACAUUUGUUUUGCACAAUCAAGACCCCAAGUGGAAGAAACCUAUUGAUUUGGUGACCUCUUGACCUUUCCUCUAGCGCCACCAUCAGGCCUUUUCAUGUCCAUUUCCACUUUUCCAGCUGCUUAUUUCCUAGUUGGUAUUUAUACUUAGUUCAACAAUCUGCUGCUGAUUUUAUUAUUUUGUUUGUUAUAUCAUUUUAUAGGUGAUGAUGUUCAUUUAUUUUAAUUGAAGAGGUAUGUUUAAGUUAUAUUUAUUUUAAGUUAUUCAUUAAUGUUAAGAGAAUUUUCCAUUCAAGAAUUUGAC
rnacentral:lncRNA from 1 species